GUCUAAUUGGUCUUUGGUCUUCAGCUUGUGGACCGGCGCUGGUCUGCAAGAACUUAUUGCAGGUCUGCAAAAGCUUUCACCUGCUUACCAUACCAUGCUUUCACUGCAAAAUCAUUUGGUCCCACCCUGCUGUCUGCCGUUCUCAGGUCGGUGGGGAGAUCAAAGAUCUCCCUCACCGGUCUCCUGGCAGUUUGUUAUGGGUGAGGGAGGUAGUAAGGACCAGGAGACUGCAGGG